CCUACGGGGUGCUGCAGUCGAGAAUCAUUCACAAUGGGGGAAACCCUGAUGGUGCGACGCCGCGUGGGGGAAUGAAGGUCUUCGGAUUGUAAACCCCUGUCAUGUGGGAGCAAAUUAAAAAGAUAGUACCCCAAGAGGAAGAGACGGCUAACUCUGUGCCAGCAGCCGCGGUAAUACAGAGGUCUCAAGCGUUGUUCGGAAUCACUGGGCGUAAAGCGUGCGUAGGCUGUUUCGUAAGUCGUGUGUGAAAGGCGCGGGCUCAACCCGCGGACGGCACAUGAUACUGCGAGACUAGAGUAAUGGAGGGGGAACCGGAAUUCUCGGUGUAGCAGUGAAAUGCGUAGAUAUCGAGAGGAACACUCGUGGCGAAGGCGGGUUCCUGGACAUUAACUGACGCUGAGGCACGAAGGCCAGGGGAGCGAAAGGGAUUAGAUACCCCAGUAGUC
rnacentral:rRNA from 1 species